CGGGACACGUGGUAUCCUGUCUGAAUAUGGGGGGACCAUCCUCCAAGGCUAAAUACUCCUGACUGACCGAUAGUGAACCAGUACCGUGAGGGAAAGGCGAAAAGAACCCCGGCGAGGGGAGUGAAAAAGAACCUGAAACCGUGUACGUACAAGCAGUGGGAGCACGCUUAGGCGUGUGACUGCGUACCUUUUGUAUAAUGGGUCAGCGACUUAUAUUCUGUAGCAAGGUUAACCGAAUAGGGGAGCCGAAGGGAAACCGAGUCUUAACUGGGCGUUAAGUUGCAGGGUAUAGACCCGAAACCCGGUGAUCUAGCCAUGGGCAGGUUGAAGGUUGGGUAACACUAACUGGAGGACCGAACCGACUAAUGUUGAAAAAUUAGCGGAUGACUUGUGGCUGGGGGUGAAAGGCCAAUCAAACCGGGAGAUAGCUGGUUCUCCCCGAAAGCUAUUUAGGUAGCGCCUCGUGAAUUCAUCUCCGGGGGUAGAGCACUGUUUCGGCAAGGGGGUCAUCCCGACUUACCAACCCGAUGCAAACUGCGAAUACCGGAGAAUGUUAUCACGGGAGACACACGGCGGGUGCUAACGUCCGUCGUGAAGAGGGAAACAACCCAGACCGCCAGCUAAGGUCCCAAAGUCAUGGUUAAGUGGGAAACGAUGUGGGAAGGCCCAGACAGCCAGGAUGUUGGCUUAGAAGCAGCCAUCAUUUAAAGAAAGCGUAAUAGCUCACUGGUCGAGUCGGCCUGCGCGGAAGAUGUAACGGGGCUAAACCAUGCACCGAAGCUGCGGCAGCGACACUGUGUGUUGUUGGGUAGGGGAGCGUUCUGUAAGCCUGCGAAGGUGUGCUGUGAGGCAUGCUGGAGGUAUCAGAAGUGCGAAUGCUGACAUAAGUAACGAUAAAGCGGGUGAAAAGCCCGCUCGCCGGAAGACCAAGGGUUCCUGUCCAACGUUAAUCGGGGCAGGGUGAGUCGACCCCUAAGGCGAGGCCGAAAGGCGUAGUCGAUGGGAAACAGGUUAAUAUUCCUGUACUUGGUGUUACUGCGAAGGGGGGACGGAGAAGGCUAUGUUGGCCGGGCGACGGUUGUCCCGGUUUAAGCGUGUAGGCUGGUUUUCCAGGCAAAUCCGGAAAAUCAAGGCUGAGGCGUGAUGACGAGGCACUACGGUGCUGAAGCAACAAAUGCCCUGCUUCCAGGAAAAGCCUCUAAGCAUCAGGUAACAUCAAAUCGUACCCCAAACCGACACAGGUGGUCAGGUAGAGAAUACCAAGGCGCUUGAGAGAACUCGGGUGAAGGAACUAGGCAAAAUGGUGCCGUAACUUCGGGAGAAGGCACGCUGAUAUGUAGGUGAAGUCCCUCGCGGAUGGAGCUGAAAUCAGUCGAAGAUACCAGCUGGCUGCAACUGUUUAUUAAAAACACAGCACUGUGCAAACACGAAAGUGGACGUAUACGGUGUGACGCCUGCCCGGUGCCGGAAGGUUAAUUGAUGGGGUCAGCGCAAGCGAAGCUCUUGAUCGAAGCCCCGGUAAACGGCGGCCGUAACUAUAACGGUCCUAAGGUAGCGAAAUUCCUUGUCGGGUAAGUUCCGACCUGCACGAAUGGCGUAAUGAUGGCCAGGCUGUCUCCACCCGAGACUCAGUGAAAUUGAACUCGCUGUGAAGAUGCAGUGUACCCGCGGCAAGACGGAAAGACCCCGUGAACCUUUACUAUAGCUUGACACUGAACAUUGAGCCUUGAUGUGUAGGAUAGGUGGGAGGCUUUGAAGUGUGGACGCCAGUCUGCAUGGAGCCGACCUUGAAAUACCACCCUUUAAUGUUU
rnacentral:rRNA from 1 species